AAUGACACGAAUUAUUUUUCACACUUCGUCAUAUCACGUUUGAAAAGGAAGUCCUAAACAGCUUGGUUAAAUGAUAUUGUCGAUUUCUUUUUUCAGCGACAGAAGCAGCUUCAAACACCGAUGGGACGCAAUCAGUGCCAUCAGGUAAGGCCGUUCUUGGUUGGAUCAAAGCUUGUUUUCCUUCCUGUUGGGUUUUUGGUUGGAUUUGUGACUGUUGGUAUUAUCUUCAUCUUGUAUAUGAAAAGGAGACAAAGCAACCCGGCCUUUGUUUCACCUUCGCUACGGUUUACCCCUGAAGGGAAUGACGCCCUUGAGCCCAUCAACAUCGGGAUACGGCUCCCCCUCUCCAACUUUCCACAAAGAGCCUUAGUCCCGAUAUCCACAACCAGGACGACCCCGACUACAGUGUGGCUACCCUCAAACCUAACCCCAACCCUCUGUCACUGUCAAACCUAACCAUCGACAAGAACAAGCUUCGAUCCAACGCAGAACCGUGAACAGUGAAGUAACUAUGACAUCCUUGCAAUUUGUUGCCCGUACGCAGAUAGAAAAUUUAAUGUAUAAUUGACCUUAUUAUUUGCUAGAAGCAUAUUAUUUGGGCUUUGCUGCGUCCUACCAAAAGACGUUAAAAUAUGGUACUUUUUGUUACCAUGUCUGGCGCUAGGCAUUAAGGGGCUAAAACAAGGACUGGUCGGCUCGGAGUCAGUAUACUGUGCCUGA